rnacentral:rRNA from 1 species
UACGGAGGGUGCGAGCGUUGUCCGGAAUCACUGGGCGUAAAGGGCGCGUAGGUGGCCGAGCAAGGUCGCGGUGAAAGCCCGGGGCUCAACCCCGGGUCGGCCGUGGCAACUACUGGGCUGGAGCACUGUAGGGGCGGGUGGAAUUCCGGGUGUAGCGGUGGAAUGCGUAGAGAUCCGGAAGAACACCGGUGGCGAAGGCGGCCCGCUGGGCAGUUGCUGACACUGAGGCGCGGCAGCGUGGGGAGCAAACAGG